GCCAGAUUGCUUUGGUGAGCCUGAUCACUGUUAGGAUCAAAACACACUUCGUUUAUAAAUAAUACGGAUAGCAGAUCUCCGGUCUACCUCCAGUAUGGAUAAUGAUAUAGCUGGGGUUCGUAUAGAACCACCGGUUGUCGAGUUCGUAGAUGCAGGAGAGAAUAUUGUACAUAGUUUGACCAUAUCCGUCCAAAACGUUAGCAAAAGUAGUAAAAUUAUCAAGUUCCACCGUCCAUCAACAAAUAACUUUAGAUUGAAAGUGAAAAAUCCUAACAAACCAGUAGCUCCUGGUUUAGAAGUAAAGGCAACUGUUGAGUAUUUCACAGACAUCGCUAAAGACUGUGAAGAUAGGUUGAUAUUAUUGGUGGAUGAAGAUGUCAUUGAAAUUCCACUCUUUGCAUACUGUCCACAGCCACUAUUGGAAUUAGAAGGACCUGUUGACUUUGGUGAAGUGGUAGCCAAUCACAGAGUCUUAUCUCAAGAAAUCUCUUUAUACAAUCAUGGAUCAAUGCUGGGUGAAUUUAAAAUCAAAUAUGAUGGACCUCAACCGCUUGUAAUAUUGCCAAGUAGUGGAAAAGUCAAACCUAAAACAGCACAGAUUAUUAAGAUUGAAUUUGUAUCCAAGACAGCUGGUGAUAUUGAUGAGAGAGCUACCUGUGUACCAUUUGGACAGACAUACUAUGGCACCGAUAAAACAGAAGGGACUAUAUGUAUAACAAUGGUCCUGAUCCUGUCAGUUUUGUUACUGUUAUGCAGGAAGGUGCUCUUGGAGAAGAAGUGGGUGUUGAUUUAUCAAAGUCUACUACAGCCAUCAUGAACCCUAACAAAACAAAGCCAAGUGUCACAAAUGAUAUGGCUGCCUUGUUCACUGCAAUACCAAAUCAAGGAGUGCUUGGACCCUAUCAAAAAUUACCAGUAUUUUUCCGAUUUAGUCCAAGAUUUCAUAAAUCCAGUCAGGGCUGGAAAGGAACUGUGAACAUUGCCCCAAGACAAGACUAUGCAGUGUUUGUACAUAUUGAGAUGGUUGGCAGCAAUAAGGGAUUCUCUGAUGAUAAUGAAAAACAAAAUGAAAAUGAAAACAGUAACCGAUGUAAAGUAGAAUUAGCACUGACCGGUACAGCCUUACCUGUCUUGAUAAGCUUAUCUCCACAGAGUCAGUAUGACUUUGGUGAAUGUCCAGUUGAGGAGCAUGUAGAUACUUUGUGUACAUUGAAGAAUGAAUCUACAGUGCUGCCUGUAUCGUUUGUAUUCCGUCGUGUGGCUCAGUUCAACGCUAGUCCCCCAGUAGGAAGAUUGACACCAGGACAGAGUCAUGAUGUCAUAUUUUCUUUCAAACCUAACCAGUAUGGAACAUUCAAGAAAAUACAGUUUGUGGAUAUAUUAGGACCAGUAGCUGAUGAUGACACUGUCAUGGGAACACACCUUGCCCCUAUACACACCCUGCAUAUUGCAUUCACUGGAGUCAGUAGUCCGCAGACUACCAAGAAGCAACCCAAGUUUAACCCUGGUAUUACACCAUUGGUAGUUGGUGAAGUGGGUCAGUUCGUUGAUGUCAAGUUUUCUGAAGCUAAACCAUAUGAUCCAAGAGCAGCCAUGUUAAAUGCUCCAAGAAGCAAAGGGUUGCACAUAGCAGAGGCAGGAAAGAAAACCAAGGAUGACCUCACAUUGGUUUCAUAUCCAAAUGACAGAGAUAGAAGCAUCAGACCUAGCUUUAGAAGAGAUAAUUAUGCUGUUAUUUUCACUAAGAAUGAGAGAUAUACAUAUGUGGAUCCUGACUAUGCUUACACUGAUGAAGAACUGGAAGCUAAGAAAGCACAUAGAGAUCAAUACAUUGGUUACAUCAAGCAGUUGAGAGAAAAUAGAACAGUCAGAAAGAAAGCAAGGGAAUUUAAGGAGGUGAAUAAUGCAACUGACAUAGGUGUGAAACCAGCCUCUGGAUUGAGGUCACCACAGCCUAAAGUUGAUGAAAUUAAAAAACAUUUGAAAACUCCAGUUCCUCCACACAGUGUGUUUCGCAUGUUGAACACUAAGGAAUUGGCUGACGCUGAGAAGGAAGCAACAAGCAGACCAGUUAGUGAAGGUUUGAAUGCAGUACCUAUGAAUAAACAAGAAAGAUCAGAGUGUAAAAAAAGAUUGUCGCCGCAACAAUUACAUCAAGUUGUUAUUGGUCCACCUACCAUUAAUUUUGGUGAAGUAUGUUUGAAAUCUACCAGUAUCCAACACAUGGACAUCGUUAACAACUUAUCUCAUCAUAUUCUUGUAGUGGUAGAUAUUGAUUGCCGUGAAUUACGUCAAACCAGUCCACUAUCUCAGGUAGUACCCGCACACUCAAAAGCACAGUUACCACUCAUAUUUGAAUCCAGUACCAAAGGCAGAUUCCAAAGGAAUGUAACGUACACAGUAAACGGUCACCAUCAAGACCAUGUUAUUGUAUUUGCUGAGGUUGUGCCAGUGUCCCUGGUGUUGUCCACAACUGAUCUAACAUUGAGACCUACACCAGGCAUGCCAGCUGAAGCAGGUUUAAGAGAUGUUAUUGUAUUGAAAAAUUCUCGUAACUAUCCAGCUGAUUUUACUUGGCAGCCAAUCCUGGGUGAAAGAGGCACAGCUUUUUCUAUAAGACCAGCUACCGGAACUGUGGAUGCAUUCAAAGAUUUAGAAUGUGAAGUUGUAUUCCAUCCAUCAUUCCAUGCUCCAGAAGAAGGACAGUUUGCAUUACAAGUACACGGUGGAACUACCAUGAAACUGAACUGUUUGGCUAAUCUUGGACCAACACAAGUACAGUUUAUAGAAAGGAGAAUUCUAUUUGGGGCAGUGCCUUUACAUCUAACAACUGUAAGAACAGCACAGUUGUACAAUACAAGUCAAAACCAUGCAUAUUUCCAGGUGAUAGAUCCUAAUCCAUUCCCUGGAUUAACUGUACUGCCCACACAUGGAGUUGUGCCUGUUGGUGGUGUUGCAGAAAUCAAAGUCAGCUUAACACCAAGUGCUGUACUCAAGUUUGACACUCGUGUACAAGUGGCAAUCCGUGGUUGGAAAACUGUUGAUUUAAGAAUGGGUGGCACAGUAGAACCACCAAUAGUGGACAUUGACUUGCCUUCUUUUCAUCUUGGCGGUGUCUAUUGUGGAUCUAUUAUGACAGUUCCAUUCAAACUCAUCAACCGAGCACAGACCAGAGCUAAAGUUGAGUUUGAUCUAUCUAGAUAUCAGGAUUUCUCAUUAAAGUUUCACGGUGAUGUUAUGGAAGAGACUCAAGAUUCUUCACAUCCUGGUAUCUAUCAUGUGACUGUAAAUGGUGAAGAUGUAAUCAAAUGUGAACUGUCAUUUCAUCCAAGUGAAGUAGCAGCUUAUGACUUCAUCAUUCCUGUUAGUAUUAACCAGACCAAUGCACCAACCCCAAAUCCCACACCAUUCCCACCAACACCGGCACCAUCCAAUAAAAGUAUUCAGCACAUCAUCACUCCACGUCCCAUACACCAUACUAUUGCUACACCAAGACGGCAUAUCAUCGCCACGGCAAUGCGUCAACCACUGCAACUGUCUAAUACUGUUAUGGAAUUCUCCUUACCGUCCGGGUUCUAUGAAAUGGGAGCACAGCAGGGAGUCUCUGGACAAAGUAAAACGACUUUGAUGGUGAACAACAGUGAUAAGAAACUGAAAUGGAACGUAGAUAUCAAGAAACAUAACAAAGCUCUGCAAGAGGGAAUAUUUAAAUUCUUACAAGGAAAUAAUAUGCCAUUUAUGGGUGGCGAUGAUGAUGGCAUUGGCGGAACCUUGGGUCUUGGUGAAACUUUUACAUUGGGUAUACUGUUUUGUCCAGAAUCUACAUACCCAAGUUCACCACGUGAUGGCGCAGCCAAUCAUCUUGCAAUGGAUAUUGAAAUGGAAGGUACUAAUCGACAAGACUUGGCGUCACGAUCUCUUGGAUCAGCGGCUUUCCCCAAUGAAGACACGGAGGAAGGUCUGUUCCAUCAAGAAGCCUUAAUGGCUGUACAAAGAUGGAUCACUUUACAAGGAUGGCCUGGUGGUCCAAAUCCUGUCACAAUACCUGAGGGUCUUAGAAGUGGUGUGAGUAAGAAUUCGUUGGGGGAGUCUGCCGGUGACAAACCACCCCGAGGUGUAGAUUCUGGUGGUGGUAGUGGACAUAAGAAAGGUCUGAGUCGUACUAUUUAUGAUUUGGUUGCACAUUUGACUGGUAGAGCUGUCCCUGGUAUACCAAUCAACCAACCAUUACCAGUAGAUGCAACAGAACGAGUAUUACAAUUACACUGGCAGCAUUCAACUAUGUUAACAUUCUUAAGAGGUCAAGGGGCAUCAGUAGCAUUUAUCAAACCUGAAUAUUUAUUUGAACCAAAGGACUACAAGAGAUAUGUCAAACUACAGGAACAGAUCAAAGCACAGAAAAGAGAACGUGAUAUUAAACAGAAUGCCAAAGUUGAUGUAGAAAUCAUUGAGAGCGCAUUGGAUGAUAAUUUAUUUGAGUCUGUCUCUAAGAGAGCUUGGACUGACUUGAUACUGCAGAUACUAAAGGUUUUAUUGCUGUCUCGUGUGACUCCACGUCAGUUUAAAUCUAUGUCAGCCUCUGGUGGUAUGAGUUUACCUGUCAUCAAUCCUGAUCCUACAUCAAGCAAUGUGUACUCCGUUGGUGAAAGAAUAUUGCUAUCAUGGUUAAAUCAUCAUUAUGAACAUCAGAGACAUAUUAUAUGGAAAGACUGUAGUAAAGGUGGUGUACCUCCAUCAAGAUGGGUUGUGAAUUUUGACUUUGAUUUGCUAGAUGGUCUUGUAUUGGCUGCUGUAUUAGCUGCUCACAUACCGUUCCUGACCACUACCCAUUUACAAGAGAUGUACACUCAUCCCAAUACAGCUGAACAGUGUCUACAUAAUACAUUGAAAGUUGUCAGUGCAUUUAAAUGUAUUGGUCUGGAUUAUGAUAUACAGGCCAUUGAUAUUACAGAUCCUAACCCUGUUGCUCUACUACUGCUAUGUGUGCAGUUAUAUCAGAGGUUACCACACUACAUACCUAAAGCUAGCGUAGAGUUUAUUGGCACAUUACAUAGCAGCGUUAUGCGACAAGUGCGUCUCAACAACCCUAGUAACAAACCACUCAUAUACCAUGCUAGCAUUGCUGGCAGGGACGCCAGGGAUUUCUUGCUACCUAAGGGUGAUCAAAUCACAAUAUCCCCCAGAGGCAAAGUGGAUCUACCUCUUGAGUUCCGUAGUCGAUUUCUACGUCCAGCUGAGGCAUUCCUGGUAUUGGUCGGUAGACGUGCUGGUGCAACUACUGGUGGAACUAUGGUGUUUACUCUACGUACAGCGAUUGAUAAUAUUGAGCCUGUGAAUGUUUUGAAGAUCGAGAACCCUUGCUAUGAACUCUACAAAAUAAUGAUUCCUGUGCACAAUGUCUUUGAAGAAUCUGGUGACUUCAAAGUUGUACUUGUUGAAUCCAAGGAUGAUUUCCCCAUUGGUGAGUCAAGUGCUGGUGGCGGGUUUCUGAAAUCAAAGCCCAUGGAACCAAAGAAAGUGAAAUCUAAGAUUGACCACGGACAGAAGAAAGAGAGGACUCCAUCUCCUGCUAAAGUUGAAGAUGUGACUUUUAAAAUGGAUACAAAACAGGAAGGUGACAAGGGAAAUCAGUUCAGCUUUUUCUUCUGCUCCCAAGACACUGUUCAUUUAAGUACUACUGAUCCAGCGACAGUGGAGGUUGAAUUCUUACCAUUUAGUCCUGGACGAAGGCAGUGUUCAGUGUUAUUUAUCAAUGAAAAGAUUGGUGAAUUUCUCUACUCGAUAGAAGCCAUAGCAGCCCUGCCAGUACCAUCUUUGUUACCAUAUCAACCAAGUCUCACUAGUAUCAGGAUUAGUAGUGCUGCCGCUGCAGGUUCUGGGCAGGGCAUGUUUGGUGGAGAUGAUAGAGUGAUUUACUGGAGAUGUGACAGCAAUAAUACAUUAGAAGAGGAACUCCAUAUACCAGUCACAAACAAAGCCAGAGAACUUGCUUUAGUCAUAGCAGCACAGCAAAGAAUGACAACCAAAGAAAUUGAGAGACGUAAAAUCACUGGAACAUUGUGUAGUAGUUCAGUCACUGCUGCUAUUGCUCAAUUAGAAAUGGCAGAUACUAUCAAAAGUGCUACCGUCUUGUCAAAGUUUAGAGACCCUUCUUCUUUGAAAGAAAGGGAUAAAGAGGGAAAAGUCUUUGAAGUGGAUAUCAAUUCUAAAUUUUUCUGUGCACCAAGUUUGUUGACGAUACCACCAGCAGGUAAACAGAAACCACAGAUGAAAGUUGACAAUGAUGUGCUAGGUAAUACACCAGCACAGUCCACACCAACAGGUAUUAUUUAUGAAGAGGGAGAAGUGGUUUUACCAAUAAAAUUUGUACCCAAAGGUGCUGGGCAUUACCCAUGUCGUGUUGUACUUCGUUCAGACAAUGAUAUCCGUGUAUAUCAGAUAGAAUGUACUGUCAAUCCUGAAGGCACAGCAGCUGAAAUAGAGUUUACUGCACCUGUACAUCAAGCCAUAACACAAGAAAUACCAAUUAUAAAUCAGACUCCUCAUGACUGGCCGUUACAAGCAUCUAUUGAAGGUGUAGGUUUUUUUGGACCACCGUAUUUACUAGCUAAAGCGAUGCAAUCGUCAUAUUAUCCUCUGAUGUUUAAACCAUCUAUGGAAUCUUACACCACGUCUGCAGCUGUAAUGGAAGUGAGUAUCUUGAAUCCCACAGUGACUGACCUGACAUUUGAUGUCAUAAUUGAUGGUGAUGGUUUGAAUGGUGAUGAUACGAUAACACUCACACCAGGUCAGAGAGCAAUGUAUCAGUUGACCUAUGCACCUGCUAUAGUUGGUGAAUUCACUGGAAGUUUAAUAUUCCAAAAUGAGAAUGUUGGUGAAUUUUGGUAUGACUUGCGUCUGAUAGCGGAAACACCAUCGCCAGUGAUAUUGCCACACUUAGAAUGUGAAUUAGGAAAAUGGACACGGCAGUAUAUCAAACUGUCCAAUCCCACUGAAGAAACCUUACAGCUAAGACCAACUAAUACUAACAUGAAUAACUUUACACUGGAAAUUGAUAUAGAUAAAAGGAUUAUUCUAGCACCACAUUCUAGUGUAGAACUGCCUCUACAGUUCAUGCCAUCUUGUCUGGGACAAGGCUAUCAGUCAGCCAAGAUUGCUUUCUCUUGUGAUCAGCUUGGUGAUCUGGUAUACUUAGCAUCAGGGAGUGGUUUCACUCCACAACCAGUAGAUCCAGUUAGUAUCAGUGCUUCUAUAGGCGGCAACACAUCAUUAAUAAUACCAUUCCGUAAUCCAAUGGACCAGACAGUACUUGUAGAUGUUAUAUUAUCAGAUAAUAAGAAUGUCUUAGAUCAAACUUAUCUAGAUAAAAACAAUGUGAAGCCAGAAUCAGCAUUUUGUCUGUUAUUGAAGAACUCUACUGGUGUUGCAGUGUCACCUAAAUCAACCCUGGACAUACCGAUAACAUUUGCACCCGAUAACAUGAAUCUACAUGAAGCAUUGAUGAUUGUCUCUAUCAGACCAGAAGACAACUCUAGUUGGGAUUACCUGCCACCAACACAACCUGAUCAACCAAAUGGUAGAAGAGAUACUGACAGACGUUCACCAAGCGGUGGUCUCAAAGAUAUUCGAUGGUUAUAUCCAAUUAAUGGUAUCCCAGAGUCACAUCCCGUAACUGAUGCAACAUACAGUGCUGUUGUUGAGUGUCAGACACGUAGUCGCAUAGAAGAAAGACUAGAAGCUACACUCAUGGGUGCUGUACCUAGCUCAGCUAGUGGAUAUGAAAAGGUUGUGUCAACUAGAGCAGUCACUCCCAAAGAUGAGACUCAUACACCCAGCACUAGUGAUGGUGUGGUAGUUGGAGAAGGUAACACUGUAACAGAAGAGUUUUCUUAUGAGAUAAUAUAUGACACAGAGGAAGCCAACGCACAGCUUGGUAACUCUGUAGCUAUCAGCUUAGUGCGUAAAAUGAGAGAUAAAUCUACUGGCAUUGUCACAUUGUUAUUCAAUGUAGUAUUUGCACCGUACAAAGUCAUGAAUUAUGAUGUGAAGUUACGUAUAGUUGCAGCAACCGGCGGUGUGUGGACGUUCCCAUUACGAUUCAUAUCAACUGAACCAAUAGUAGACGACACUAUAACGAUAGAGGCAGCGGGUCUUGGCAAGACAUCAGCUGUAGGAUUCCGACUGACUAGUCAGGCAAGACAUCCAAUUGCUUUUAAUAGUUACUUUGUAGCUGGCAGUGAUGUUGAGUUUUCUGUAAGCCCCCAGUCUGGUGAACUGCUACCACUUGGUACAAAUGGAACUUUAAUUACAAUAUCAUUCACACCCAAAAUUUAUGGUAAAACGUACAUUGGAAAAUUAGUUGUACAGACUGCUGAUAUGCAGUGGACAUAUGACAUCAAAGGCAUUACACCAUCAUAUGCACCACCUACAGGACAGUCAGAAAGACCAAUAGCUGGGCCACAUCCUAAACCCAAAUAUCAUCGUAGACCAUUAAAUUAUGUUCGCAAUAAUCUUCGAUUGACAACAACUGCCGUGUCUUCACCUGUGAAAGGAGCCCCAAUUUUGAAUUCUAAAAUGAAACUAUAAAUACAUAACCCGGUGUUUCUUGUAUACUGUAAACCGCUGUAAUUUCACAACAGAUCAAUUUUUCAUGAAUUUAGAUAUAUAUUUUUUAAAUACAGCUUCUAUAAACAGAGAGUCAAACUGAUACUUGUCAAUCUUCAUCAAUGUUUUUAGAUUUUCAAAUCACAAACAUUUUUUGAAGAUGAAGAAAAUUUUAUGGUUUCCUGUAUACUUUACUUAUUAUAGUAAUGUAUGUAAACAAAUUGUGAACAAAAUAAAGAUUUUAAAACAGUUCCUUUCAACAGCUGUCAUUCCGUCCCUAUCUAGUUCUGUAGACUAUUUAUGAAGCUGAAAAAAUAUGUUAUUGAUUUUUAGAACACUUGUAACAUAAUAUCCGAUAUACAUGUAUUAUUGAUGAGAAUAGUAUCAGUAACUUUAAUGUGAAAAUUGUGUUCUAUAUGAUACUAUUUGUAAAUAAUAUUUUUUAAUUUGAUUGUAAAAACAUUGCCUCAUUUUUAAAUACGAAACGAUUGCUUCAGCAGAGACUCGUAUUGAGAAGAAUCGUACCGGUAUGUCUGAAUGUUUUUUACUUAUUUCAUUAAGGUUGUAAACAAAUGUGUGUAAAGUAUGUUGGUUUUGCCAUUGUUAUCAAUAAAUAUUUUAAGUGAAAGAAA